rnacentral:rRNA from 1 species
GACGUAGGGGGCCAGCGUUGCUCGGAAUUACUGGGUGUAAAGGGUUCGUAGGCGGUGUGGCAAGUCGGGAGUGAAAUCUCUGGGCUCAACCCAGAGUCUGCUUCCGAAACUGCUGUGCUUGAGUGUGGGAGAGGCGCGUGGAAUUGCAGGUGUAGCGGUGAAAUGCGUAGAUAUCUGGAGGAACACCGGUGGCGAAGGCGGCAUCCUGGACCGGUAUUGACGCUGAGGCGCGAAAGCUAGGGGAGCAAACGGG